ACUGGUGAUAUAUAGGUAUAGAUCUGCUACUUUCCAAUGGCCAAUGGGUUCAGGCUCCACUUAGAAGCAUACUAAAAAUUGUAAUAUCAACCUGCUAAUCUGCUCAGUUAGAAAGUACAGACACUAAACUAUCAGAAUAUGCAAAGAAUGAAAAGGUCAACCUAUGAUAAAAUAACUUCCACAACAUUGAAAUAAUGUUUACAAUUUUUGCUGCAAUAUGCAUGAAGUGUGAAAUGAAACCAGCUUCAGUGUUGCAAAAGUUAUUUCAUUAGUAUCUUAAAUGCCUAGUGGCUGAGUAUACCCUGACUUCAUCCGUGUUGUUACCUAACAUUUAAGGUUAUCCCAUAAGUUUAUUACAUUCUAUGUGUCUGUGAAAAUCAAUGGUUUCCUUUGGUAUACAUUUAAUGAAUUUCAUCCAACAUUCCCUUCGCAAAUUUCAAAACGUCCAAAAAUGAUUUAUCUGACACACCCUUCAACAAUUAGAAUUAUCUGAUUGAAAGUAUUAGUCUUCAUACAAAUAUUUUAUUUCGGUUCACCUUACUACUGCACUCGAUUGAUCAGAAGGCAAAACAAAUUGUUUCAUAGCAAUUUCGGCUCAUAUACCACAUUAGGAAAUAGAAGCCUAGUGGCCCAAGCAUUAGAUGAAUAGUUCAACAUAUUGUACACAGUAAUGUAAAAAUGAAUAUAUGUACCACAUCAGAGUGCUUCCUAAACAUGCUCAAAAGUACACUUCUUCACAAUUUUACCAUUACUGCAAUUUACGGCACCAUACAAAAUGCAGAUGCCACACCAGUACAUAUGACAACACCACUGCCUCCUUUUUCAGAGAUUACCAACACCGUAGCCAUGUUUCUAUAACAUUGAUAAGAACGCAAUUAAUGACGUCUUGUAAUUCAUAAUUUUAUUGAUUUUGCUUGAAACCUUACAGAACGGAGCGUAUUAACGCCAUUAUGGUAGUUGUGUUUUAUCUACUUUAAAGUGGCAGUUACAUCAACACCUUCAAGUAUUAAAUUUUGAUAUUUUAAUGCACAUUGUAUUAAGUUUAUGGAGUACGAAGUGAGGCAUAUUGAAUCUUAAUUUAGUGUUUAUUCAUGUCUCAGGCACAGUUCCGUGUGAUUUUAUAUACACGUUUGUGACUGCAUUCUGUGUUAGGUCGUUAAUAGCACGUACUGAUAACUAAAAUGAUAGAUCAUGAAGACCAUUUGUAAUCGGUGGUUGUGCUUCCGAUUGUUUCGUUUAUCUGUUUUGUGGGAAAGUCAGUUGGUAUGAAAUUAACAUAGAUAUACCUAAUAUAUAUUUUAUAGUCUGUGGUGUUACCUAUGUUCUGUGCUCCCUGAACCCAUGUUUUUAUCUUUGCAUCAUUAGUUGUGUCACCUGUGACUCAGAAAAGGUAGGGUUUUUAUCCUACGCCAGAAUUGGGAUUAUCAGCCAUUAGUCUAUUUCUGGCAGCCUAGUACAGGUUUGAAUCGGCAAUAAAACCAGUAAAUAAGGGCAGUUCUGCAUUUCUGAAGAAGGAAAAAAACUUUAAAAAUAAUAUGGACAGUGAACUGACUGCAGAUGUCAAUUUCACUUCAAGGAUUAAGAACUUCCAGGAGAGUGUAAAUGGAAUUGGAGAACUGUUGAAAAAUGCUUUUGAGAAAGAUGUCUAUGAGAGGCUUGAUAUAGGUGAUCGUGUAAAAUAUGAUUUAUUCUUAUCAUAUACUCUCAAUUCCUUAUUUUGGCUUUACCUGCGUACUCAAGGUGAGGAUCCUGCCAAACAUGCUGUUAAGUCUGAAAUUGAUAGAGUGAGAGAUUAUAAUACUAAAGCUAAACAAGUUCAAGAUCGUAGAACCAUUAUGCCUCGCAUUGAUGUAGCUGCUGCUCAGAGGUUCAUUAGAAGUGGAUUGUGGCAACCAAACCAAAGUGAUAACCAGAAUGCAGAUAUUAAUGUUGAAGGAGCAGAGGGAACAGGUGAAGAAGAUAAUGACACUGUCCCUGAGCACCAGUAGAGUAUCAAUUUUAACAAAGUGAGUUAUGGUUAUUAACACGCAUAAAGACUACAGACUAGUGUGAGUGCAUAUAGACAGCACACACACACAAAAAAUCCUCUUUAUUUUGUUACUACUUGACUCCAUUGUUUUAAAAAUGUGAAAUUGAAGUUUAAGAUUAAUUAGAAAUGUGUGAAUAUGUGAAUUUUAAUUGAUGUAUGCUGCUGAACAGUGCAGUGUAGACCAUUCUUUCUUUUACCAAAAUAAGAAAAUAAUGUAUAAAAAGUUUCUGCAGUGCACAAAUGUAUUAAGAUCUGUGCAAAUACUCUGCCCUCGUAAGUGUUUGUGAUGAAUUACCCUUCAUGGCCUCUGCAUACUAAGCAAAGUGAAGGAAGCUAUUUCAGAGGCCCUUAUGCGACUGCUGUGUCCACAUUGAAGUAAGAACUGUGGGUGUCUGGAUUUCUCCUCUAGCUUCUUCAUCUAGACCAGUUCUGGGGCACACCCAGCCUCCUAUCUGAUGGGUACCAAGGUCCUUCCACAGGGAUAAAGUGUGGCCAGAGCAUGAUGCUGACCACUCACCCCAUCUAGUGCCUAGGUCAAGAAUGAGGAGGAGCUAUACCCCCAAGAGCAUACAUGGCAUAUAAUGGGACAGCUUUAUUUUAUUUAUUUAUGUUACUGUAUAAUUCAUAAGUCAUUGUGUCAGCAACCUUUUAAGAUGUGAAAUAUUUAUUCAGGCAAAUGAGAUGAAGUGACACAUGUAUGAUAUAUGAAAUUAUCUUUAUUAAUCUUUAGCCAUUCACAUGUCCCCUUCUUCUCAUGUAUGUGGUGUGAUGGGACUGUGAUUACAGGUAGGAGCUAAUGUGUUUGCCAGACUAGAUAAGUGGUAGGAGAACUCUUACCUCUAGUGGGAUAACCACGAGUCACCAUUAACUGGGCACUGUUCGACUAUUACAAUUGUAUAUUAUUUCUUGUACCACCAGAUUAAUAGUUUGUUAUAAAUGCUUUCAUGUACUUCUUUCACAAUGGCAGUUUGAGCCUCGGUUAUGUCUUGUGUACUACUUAAUGGUUUCUUAAUGAUGGCCACCCAGUUUCAAGCCUUGAUGAGGAAGGAGCUUUUUGAGUUGUUGGCUUCCCUUCCAGCUUUUGCACAGUCGUGUUAACUGACUCUGUCACCAACUAUCAAGCUACUGCCCAAUCAUGCACCCAGGAAUGGUAGCUAUGCUGUGUUCGUGUUGCAGGUGUGCUGGUGUAUCCCGUGGAAUUUUGGAAAUAUAACGGUGUUUUGUGCAUCUGUUAUUCAAUGGUAUAAGACCAUUACAAUAAUUGGAACAUUUUUUAAACAUCUGAUGAUAGCUAGAUGGAUCUUUGUGGUAUAUCCAUGGAUGGUUAUGGCAUUCAGAUGGAUCAUUGUGGCAAUCAGAUGGUUCCUAAAUUACAAUCGUAAUUCUGUUAUUGAAGAUGUAGAUUCCGACAAUGAAGAAUCAUACCACACAGCGAUAGCGAAAUGUUGUUGGCCUCACGCCCAGCUCCCAAUCUGGAGUACCACCACUUGUCGGCUGUCUGCGACUGCUAAUUCAAUAUAUUCGCGGCUAACCACCAGAACUGGAUGCUGUUCCUCCAUCCGCAACCUGAGGACGGGCCAUGCUGUGGAGACAGGGACCUACCAUACGAGCAUCUGGGUUCUUUAAUUCAAGCAUGUCACUACUCACACUCAUUCGUGGGCAAUGAUCCGACUGGAGCAGAAACGUUCCUGAUGCACGUCAUUCCAAACAUGUGUGCAGCCCUGUAAGCAUGGCUCUUCACUUCUACGUGGAACUCGGGGUUAAUGAUAUAGAGUGCAACUUUGAUUAUGAUAACUAUCACAUUGUAACCCAACAGUGUUAGCCACCACCUCCGGAUGUAUCGCACAGGUUGCAGGUAUACCUCCUCCCCUUGCCAUAGCAACACAAAGGCACCCACCAGGUACCCCAGUGAAAAUAUGUUCACCAUGUUCACGCCAGCCAGACAAAACCUCGCCAGUGUCACCCAAAGGCUUCCCAACCAAUACCCGGUGCAGACCUCUUGUCCCAUCCAUGAGCGCUACAUGCCACCUCCCAUGUGGGAGGUUUCUUUGUCUUUGAAGUGUGCAUUUAAGAGUAGUGAGUGACAAGCCCACCCUGCCUCUGCACAAUUUCCAAUUUUGUUGUGUAGUUUAGUACAUUUAUUCUCGCCUGAACCUAGUAUUUUACAAAACUGCAUAUUCAGAAGAAUAGACAUACAUAUUUGUACUUUCAAAUGUUAACAUUUAUAUUCAGAAUAACGAACUUUAAGUUACACUUACCGUAAAAUCCUUUAACUUCAUCAUGUACGAACACGAACCGCCAUAAUAACUCCUGACUGUUUGUACGCUGUCACCAGAUGUCAUUGAGAACAGAGCGCGCUCAAUUCAAAUACUUUCAAAGACAGUUACGGUGUCAGCAUUGACUCAGAUAGUGUGAUUCGCCCCACUUCCACUAGUACUCCUGAAAUCUUCUACGGAGAAACGACGAGACCCUGGAGCAGGUAUCGUAAUUACAGCUGACUUUGAAAUGGCAUCAUUGAGGGUGACAAUGGCAACUGAAAUAUUUGCCAAAAUGUUGGAUAACAUUCAUUCCUGAGAGCCAUUGUUAUUCAAAAUAUUAUAGUAAAGUCUCAUGUUCUUUAGAAGCAAAACUUCAUUUCUAACUCAGAUUUACGAAAACAUUUUGUGGGUAAAUGGAACAAAAUGCCAAGCAAGAUGCUGCAGUUCUGAAGAGACGUGCAGUAACGUGGUAUAUAUGUAGGAUUUGAGGUUUUCAUGGCAGUGAAUCUGAAGGUGGCCGCCUUCUGGUUUGUUGUGCCGUGUAGUCAGAUAGAAGUUUGCCGACGUUUCAGAGGCCGCCCUAAUGAUGUAGGCACCAAAGACCUCUGAAAUGUCGGUAAACUUCUACUAGACUACAUGGCACAACCCAGAAGACGGCCAUUUUCAGUAACAUGGUAAUUGAUAAAAUUUCAUAGUUUGUAUAUCAUCUGUACACUUAACUUUGUACAAUAAUAGAAUAAAAACCUACAUACACUGUG